AGCUAAGUAGUUUAAUAAAAACAUUAAUUUUGUAAAUUAAAAUUAAAUAAAUAUUUUUUAGCAA
rnacentral:tRNA from 1 species